AUUGAACGCUGGCGGCAGGCCUAACACAUGCAAGUCGAGCGGAGCGGCGGACGGGUGCGUAAUGCCCAGGAAUCUGCCCGGUAGCGGGGGAUAACGUCCGGUAACGGGCGCUAAUACCGCUUACUAUUCGACGAGCCUAGGCCGGAUUAGCUAGUUGGUGGGGUAAAGGCCUACCAAGGCGACGAUCCGUAACUGGUCUGAGAGGAUGAUCAGUCACACUGGAACUGAGACACGGUCCAGACUCCAACGGGAGGCAGCAGUGGGGAAUAUUGGACAAUGGGCGAAAGCCUGAUGCAGCCAUGCCGCGUGUGUGAAGAAGGUCUUCGGAUUGUAAAGCACUUUAAGUUGGGAGGCGUUACCAACAGAAUAAGCACCGGCUAACUUCGUGCCAGCAGCCGCGGUAAUAC
rnacentral:rRNA from 1 species